rnacentral:rRNA from 1 species
CAGCAGCCGCGGUAAUACGUAGGGUGCAAGCGUUAAUCGGAAUUACUGGGCGUAAAGCGUGCGAAGGCGGUUAUAUAAGACAGAUGUGAAAUCCCCGGGCUCAACCUGGGAACUGCAUUUGUGACUGUAUAGCUAGAGUACGGCAGAGGGGGAUGGAAUUCCGCGUGUAGCAGUGAAAUGCGUAGAUAUGCGGAGGAACACCGAUGGCGAAGGCAAUCCCCUGGGCCUGUACUGACGCUCAUGCACGAAAGCGUGGGGAGCAAACAGGAUUAGAUACCCCGGUAGUCCCUGUCUCUUAUAC